rnacentral:rRNA from 1 species
CCUACGGGAGGCAGCAGUGGGGAAUAUUGGGCAAUGGGCGCAAGCCUGACCCAGCAACGCCGCGUGAAGGAAGAAGGCUUUCGGGUUGUAAACUUCUUUUCUCAGGGACGAAGAAAGUGACGGUACCUGAGGAAUAAGCCACGGCUAACUACGUGCCAGCAGCCGUGGUACUACGUAGGUGGCAAGCGUUAUCCGGAUUUACUGGGAGUAAAGGGCGUGUAGGCGGGAAAGCAAGUCAGAUGUGAAAACCAUGGGCUCAACCUGGGGCCUGCAUUUGAAACUGGUUUUCUUGAGGAGUGGAGGGGCAGACGGAAUUCCUAGUGUAGCGGUGAAAUGCGUAGAUAUUAGGAGGAACACCAGUGGCGAAGGCGGUCUGCUGGACAGCAACUGACGCUGAGGCGCGAAGGCGUGGGGAGCAAACAGGAUUAGAUACCCUUGUAGUC